rnacentral:rRNA from 1 species
ACGAACGCUGGCGGCGUGCUUAACACAUGCCAGUCGCACGGAAAGGCCCUGCUUUUGUGGGGUGCUCGUGUGGCGAACGGGUGAGUAACACGUGAGUAACCUGCCCUUGACUUUGGGAUAACUUCAGGAAACUGGGGCUAAUACCGGAUAGGAGCUCCUGCUGCAUGGUGGGGGUUGGAAAGUUUCGGCGGUUGGGGAUGGACUCGCGGCUUAUCAGCUUGUUGGUGGGGUAGUGGCUUACCAAGGCUUUGACGGGUAGCCGGCCUGAGAGGGUGACCGGCCACAUUGGGACUGAGAUACGGCCCAGACUCCUACGGGAGGCAGCAGUGGGGAAUAUUGCACAAUGGGCGGAAGCCUGAUGCAGCAACGCCGCGUGCGGGAUGACGGCCUUCGGGUUGUAAACCGCUUUCGCCUGUGACGAAGCGUGAGUGACGGUAAUGGGUAAAGAAGCACCGGCUAACUACGUG